GAAUUCUAUGGCUCUAAUCUCUAGUUGAAACCUUGGAUUUAUGGGUUUAACCUAGGGUUUCUUUUUGAAAUUUUCUGCCAUGUAUCAGCUUUGGGUCUUUCGGAUUCCCUCUUUUUGCUCAUCUGUUGUGUUCCGUGGCUUGAAAAGGGGAUCAAAACAGGAGUGUAUUUCAAGAUUCAAGGAACCUAUUUGUAAAACCAUGAGGUGUGAAUAG